GGCUCCAUAGUGUAACAGUUAGCGCAUUUGCUUUACAUGCAGGAAGUCCUGGGUUCACGCCCCAGGUGGAGCCA
rnacentral:tRNA from 1 species